rnacentral:lncRNA from 1 species
UCCAGACUCGUGUGUGGCUGCUUGCGCAGCUGCUCCGUGCCAGGCUUGGAGGACCAGGAGAAGGGGUAGUCACUUGCCACAGCUGGAGGCUGGAGCGUGUGGCACCACGGCUCGCCUCGCUGUGGUGGGUGCUGGCGACAGAGACGGCAGCUCGGCUGGACUGCUCUGUUUUUACCCUUUCUCCGGGCUGUUAUUGUCAUACAAAUUACAUCUUUAUACAUGUUGUGCUGAACAACAAGUCGAUUUGUAGGUGUUUCUUUGUGAAGUUAUCCUCUAAAUCAGAUUUGCUGAGAUUUGUUUUGUGGCCUAACAUCUGAUCUACCCUGAAGACACUUCCAUGUGCUGAUGGGGAGAAUGCAUACUCUUCAACUGUUGAGUGGGAUGUUCUGUGAAUAUCUGGUAAAAAAACUGAGGCUUAGAAACAUUGAAAAAAACUUGCUCAACGUUGCAAAACAAGAAAUUUGUGACACUGGAAUUGACAUCUACAAGGGACUGAUGUAACUAAUUGCUGGAUACAUGUCCCUCAAAGACACAGAAACAGAUCUUGUAUUCUAGUGGAUCUCCGGCACCCAGUGAGGGCCUGAAACAGAGUACAUGUCCAACAAAUAAUUAUUGAAGUAAAGAUUGACAUUUCAGGAGCAGAGAUUAAUAUUCAAAAACAAAGAUGAGAAUUUUGGCAGAAAAGUCAAAAUGAGGUUCCAACGUGGCUCAACAUGGCAGUUGCUGAUCCUGACUUUGCUUAAAAUUUGGUACUUUGUUUAUCACAAAUUUUAAAAUUAAUUUUGAUUUCUCAAAAUAUUGAUUAAAAUGUUUAUCUCUA